UGCUUGAAGCCUGGAACUUCGACUCAACCUUAGUUUAAUAAGUGUAGGUGAGCAAAGUUUCAGGUGUUCAAGCGC
rnacentral:pre_miRNA from 1 species